CUUCUCAUCUUUAUUAUCAUAUCAUGUGGAGUAGCAACUGCUCAUUUUGUUCCCAAUGCGGUUUUCAAGAGGUCUCUCUCCUCUACUAUUUGAGUUUUUUUAUAUCUGCUCAGCCAUUCAGCUUACACUUUGCGUUGUUCGUUAGCUGAGUUGGCUUACACUCAGUUUCCGGUGCUGAGAGUUCGGUGACAUCAUUCGCUGAUGCUC
rnacentral:lncRNA from 1 species